rnacentral:snRNA from 1 species
UCUCUACCCAUUGGACAUUGGU